CAUUGUUUAUUACAAUAUUGUAGCUAGAGAACUAACUAAAGGAACUUCUGCCAUUAUUACUAUUAGCAACAAAAAAAGGAACUUCUGCCAUCAGAGUGAGAUAAAACUACGACCGAAAAUAUUACAUAUCCCUUUCUCUUCCAACACUUUUGAUGAAUUGAAUGAUGAUAAAUAUGUAACUUAUAUAUAACACUACGGUGUAUAAAAUUUAAAUUUCUUUCGUAUAAAUUGUAACAAAAAUGUUGACACAAAAGUAGUCACAUAAUAGAGAACGUGAAAUUCUUCGAUCAACAGCAUUAGUGAGGACUGAGGUGCAACCGAGCACAUCUACAAAAGCUGUAUGAUUGAUAUUUGCAUGAACACUAGCAUCAACGCUUAUUCAAUACAUGGAUAUCUCAUCUUCAUCAACGAAAUGAACCUUUACACUCACAUUAUAUGAACAAAAAAGAAUGAGAGAACAAUACACAUCUUAGCAUCUUUUUCUUUUUUUCAGAAAUCUUAUCAACUAGUCCAUAUGUACAAAUAACUAAUAAAUUUGGCAGCCACAUUGUACUAAUACAAGCAGUUAUGGAUCAAGCUGAUACUCGGGCUUGUCAAAAUCGCCAUUUUGAAAUGUGCUCCCCUCCACCCCAUUUUCAAGUUUCUGCAAUUCGUUCAUAACAAAUCAAUGACCAAAACAAGGGAAGAAAUCGGUAUACGAAAUUGAGAUCACAUCACGCAAUGCAUAUAAUUGUGUGGUUUGAUUUUGUCAAACAUACUAUAGACUUAGCGUCCGUUUGGAUUGAGCUUAUUUUGAGCUUAUGCAAAACAGCUUGUGUAAAUAAAUAAGCUUUUAUUUAUUAUUCAUGAGGUUUUUAAGGUAGUAUAUGAAAAAACAACUUAUGAAGAUAAAGUUUUCGUUAAUAAGAACUUAUGAAUUAAUAUAAAAUCUUAUUUAUUUGCAUAACCUAUUUUCCGUAAGCUCAAAAUAAGCUCAAUCCAAACGGGUAUCUUUUAAUUAUGCAUUACAGUACACAAAUGAGACGUGAAAAUGAUAGUUAUGGCCAGCAUUUAUCCAUCAUAAAAACAAUAAUAUAAUAAAAUAAAAAAUUAUCACCCAAGAAAGAAAGAAAAAAAACGCAGUUACACAAUUUGAUUAAAAGUUGCAUUGCUUGUCUGUACAUAGACAUACACAAACAGAAAAGGAGAGAAUCAGAUGCGUACUUCUGAGUGUAGAUCAACUGGAAACAAAGUUAUGGCUUCUGCAUUGAACGUGAAUCCACUGAAGGUGACACAAAAUUUGCAUUAGUAACAUGCAGAGUGAAAAAAAUAUAGCGGAAAAGGGAAAGAAAAAAAAAAAAAACAUUGGUAGAAGAGAACAUAUAAAAGUUGAAAUAAAUAAUAGUAUAAUUAAUUCCCCUAAACCUAGUGUAUCUCAAGCCUCAAUACUCUUGAUUGAGCUGUUAAGUGUAAAAUAUUGACUAGCAGCCUCAAGACUAUGUGAAUAAGAAGCUCAAAGAAGCAUACCAGUGGGAUAAUACAAGCUGCCAGACAUAUGGGAUAAAAAACUCCUCGGGGUGUCUCUCUUGUUCAUACAUGAAGCGCAGUUGAGUAAACAUCUGCCAAAAAAAAAUACAGCCACAUUAGAAGCAGGAAAAAUAAUCCUCUUAAAUUCUUAAUGAUAUACUCCAUACUGGAAGCGCACCACAAAGCACAAUAUUUUUUUCCAUAUUACCUUCAUUCCAUCACCCCUCCAAGAACGACAAUUGACAAUUAUCACUUGGAGCACUUCGCUGACUGACCAGUCACCAUCAACUCUUUGAGCAUCCAUACGAGUAUUGAAAAAAUCUAAUACCUGCAAAUAUUCAAUAGAUACAUUUUUCAAUGACACAAAAAAAAUGAUGUAAAAAAGAUAGCGCAAAACAUGCUCUAUAAGAAUUUGCAAGGUUUAAUAGGGUGAGCAGAUAUUGUAACUUCAACUUAAAUAUAAUAUAUUAAACAUACGGUAUAAAUGUUUUCAAGUAGUUCAUGGAAGCGUGGGUGACUCUUGUAUGGCUGAAAGACUUCCUGCCUGUGCAUUACUGCAUACACUACCUGCUCCAAUCACAUAAAGCAAUACCAUAACGUAAAUUUUGACUGUUUUGGACUAGACAAAAACAGGUGAAAUAAAUCUUCAAUUAAUCAAGUAGAAAAUCAAAUCAAACCUCAGGAUUCCGAGGCAGUGCAUAAGUCAGGAUUGCAUUUAUUAUUUCUAGUACAAGCCUCAAGAAGUCGGUGUAAAUCUGCAUUUCAGUUGACUGCACCAAAAGAAUACUCAAUUUAGAAAAAGAAGUGGUCUAAAGAUUGUGAUCAAUAGUGUCACAAAAGCACCAAGAUGGUAUAUAUAUUAUAUACCACAUCCUCUACAAAGCUGUUUCCUUCAAUUGAGUUGUCUUUUGCAAUAUGAAGCUUAUUAUCUCUGCGAUCAGCUAAUUUGUUAUACCUGAUGAGAAGCAAGAAUAGUGACAAAUUUUUAAACCAGAGAUAACAAGCUCUAAAAGGUAUAAAUUUGAAUGGUACAUUACAAAGGUAAAGAAAGAACGGAAACAUACUUGCGUGAGAGCAUAUCGAAAAGGCUGACUAGUCUCUGAGAUGCAUAUGCACUCAAACGAUGAACAUGAGGUGCCAUGUUAGCCAAAGUUGCCAGACAUGUUGUGUGGAGAUAGACAUCCUAUCAUUUUUUUACAUAAAAGAAUGGUUAGCGGAAGAAAUCUAUACAAAAACAUUUUAAUAGUUCAAUCCACAUAAACUACUUGCGUAAACAAGGAUCAGAAACAUUUCUAACAUUGAAACAUGGCAAUUCUACGAGUAUCCAUUGGCAUAUGAAUGAUAUGAUAUAUCUAAUCACUGUUUUCAGUAGAUAUAGGAUAACAGAUCUGAAGUCUCAAUGCCUUCCUUUCACCCAGCUCCCAGACUUUCCCAAAUGUAAAUUUUCUGUCAGUCUUUCCUUAAAAGAGAUACCAAUUUUCUUCAUCAAAGCUACUUCUAGUACACAAUACCCUAAUCCUAUUAGAUCAGACCAACAAAAUAUAGCAUUAGACCAAGUAGGCAAACUAAUGCAAACUUAAAGCUUACAUAGUUGACUGAAAAUUACAUUAUCAAGAUAGAGUCCUUGAAACUUGAAUUUAAGAUGUUGAAAAUAUGUUCACAGAAAAACAUAAAUCCUUACACUUCUAAAAUAGCACUAGAAUUUCAAGACAGGAUCCCAUUUUAUUGGACCAAGGUUAUUACAGUAAACCAUGUUACGCAAACAGAACAAAGUAUCAGAAGAGAUUUCAAUAUUGGGCCUUUUGGGUAAAAACCAUCAAGUGAACUCAAACAGGACAAAGUAUUUCCCAUAAAACAUAAAAGUCAAUAGCAUCAAUCAGUUCAUAUAUUCCACCAAUAAAUACUGAUAAUAGUAGCACACCUCUCAGUAAUAACUAAUAAGCAUAUUAAUUGGCCAUUGGAUUAGAUUUUGCAUUAUAUAUAUAAUCAAGUAGAAAAGGGAAAUGUAGAAAUUAGAUACAAGAGAGUAAAUUAAUAAUGUAACAAAGUUUUAAGAAUCAUACCCGUAGUUUAGACAAAUUAUACUGUACAGUUCUGAUAAGAAUUAUGACCAUAAGAGAACCAAGAUUAGUCUGAUGGAGAAGACGUUCUUUGUACCAUGGAACACCCGUCAAUAUCUGUCCAUUUAUAUACCAAAUUAACCUUUAACACAAUCGGUGCAGUUUCAGGCAUAUUCUAAUGGUGAAAGACAACUCUUACCAGCUUAUGAAUGCUUGCAUUGAAAGAAGAAUCUUGACUAAGUAUAAGACAUAUAAUCAGCAACAUGUAUAUUUGAUUAGGUGUCCUACUUUGAGCAUUGUAUAGAGCUUCCAAAAUCGGCAUUAACUGUUAAUGUCAUAAGAUAAAUCUUGUUCAAAAAAUGUCAUAAGAUAAACAAGAAACGGAGUAAAACUCAAUCUUUAGUCAUUCUAGAUGUUAUCGGUCAAAUCCAUAUCAUUUACAAUGACUUAAAGCAAGUGUGUAUCGUUUGACAGAUCUAAGGGAAAAUGAGUGUUGAUUUCUACGACAAAUAAGUGAAUAAUGGUGGCAAGUGUUUGUUUAAGAAAUAAAAGGGGUAUAUAUGUCAUUUCAAGAUAUCUCAAGGGAGAUGGAUGAUAUUUCACCAAUAAACUAUAAUAAAUUCUUUUUCCAAAAAAAAACUAUAAUAAAUUCAUUCCAUUAUCUUUCAUAAGAGAAAUUCAAGUUUGCUGUCCCGUACCAAUGUAUCUAUAUCAGUCCGCACCAAGACAUACUCCAAAAAGGCAGAAUUUCCUUGCAACAACGAGUAAAGCAGUAGGACUGCUGCCUCAUCAGCUAAGCACCUGUAGAGGAAUAAAAGUUGCCAGGUGCUUUAAAAACAACAAAUGUUAAAAAUCAUCAUGAGUAUAACAUACAAUUACAAACAUGUUAAUUCUAUUUUGCGGACUUUGACUCUAUUAAUAAAAGCAUAUGUGAGCAUUGUACGGAUGUAGUAUAUUAAUUGUCAAACACAUAUACAAGCAGAAAGAUACUCACAUGCCAAGUGUAUCAAACAAAGAAGCAAAAGGCAACUUUAUGUGUCGGCCACUAUGUGCAUUGCCCUCGAUGUCUACACGAUCCACUGCAUUUUAAGACUGAUCAAAAUUUGCUAGCAUUCUCAAUCAAUUAAAACGGUAUAGAUAGAUAUGUAAAAUGUAUUACAUUCACAAUCAAUUGCUUGCUCUAAGGCCUUGCAGUAUGAGUUGUCGGAAAAUUGGGGAUUUUCUUUGAUUAAUGAAUCUGAAGCUGAAGAUUUGUUAUUCUCAAUGGCAGAGUAGUCCUCACUCACAGCACAUUUAUGAUAAUGAAUGAGAAUAAGAAGCACGUGAAGACUGCUAUCCGCUAUUGGGUUUCUUGACCCUUCACCGCUAGAACUGACCAAAUAACUGAAUGGCAAUAAAACAAUAUUUGCUGCAAGGCAAUAAAUCAAAAAAUAAACCUGUCAAAUAAGUUCUAACUUUCCAAACAAAAAUUUCGAAGCAAUUAAAACAACAACAACAACAACAACAACAAUAAUAAUAAUAAUAAUAAUAAAAAGGCAUACUUGACUUAAAAAAAUUCAUGAUAUUAAAUAGAAAAACAUAUCCAGUCACCAGUUCGUACCAGCUGCAGAACCAACUCUCUGUAGCACACUACUCUGACUUCCGUCAUAAAAGAUGGGAUAAGUUGCCCGAUUGAAUGGAACCCUAGGACGGGUAAUGAAAUUUAGAAGCAAUUUGCGAACAACUAAACCAACCAGAUCACUGUCCUGCAAAAACAAUAAUGCACUAACCUGUUAUUUACUAUCUGCAAAUACAGAAUAACUCAAUGACCAACGGUUGAUGUUAAAGUCUCAGCUUCUAACCUGAGCCAUUGCUGCAUCAAGAAAUGGAUUCACAUCAUUUGGUCCAGGAGAUGAACCACAUAGAAGCUGAGUUGACAUUGUAAUAAUCAAGAAAUUAAGCAGUUCUAGAUGUAGAAGAAAUGUGUUUGGACUACAAUAAUAAUAGAAAAGGGAAAAAUUGUCAGGAGAGAAAGUUCACGCAAUAACUCUGAUAAUUAACCGGUCAAGUUGCCUAUGAGUUGUAAUAUACCUCACUUCUACUGAUGCUAUAAAGUUCAGUACAUUCCUCAUAACAAGAUUUUCAAUGGUUUUAUCUGUAUGAAAUUUAAAAAAAAAAAAAAAAAAAAAAUAUUAAGAAAUCUGAAAAACACUGGAAAUACACACAUAUAAACCAAAAGAUACUUCAAAGGAGAAAAGAAGGAAAGAAAAAAAAAAAAAAAAACGAAUUACAUGAAACAUAAAGAAUUUCCAAUUCAAACAUGAGAAAGAAAUUAUGCAUAUAUCACAUCACAUCAAAUGCAAUAAGGUUCAGCAUGUUACCCAAGUAGAUGCCAAAAUUCGGCUCAAGCACUUUACAUGAAUAUUAUGCUAAUACACCGCCCAGAAUCAUAAAUGCAACUGAUAGGGAAUUGGGUAUUAGGGGGCACUCAAGUCCCACAUCGAGUAGUAUGCGAUGCUCGGUAGAGUAUUUAUUUAAGUGAUUUGGUUCUUCCCCCUUUAUAGCUAGGUUUUAAGGAAGGGUUCCCCAAGUCCUUGGAUACUUAUCAGCAACAAAGUUCAAUGACAAUGAUAUGUAUGUAUGGUUUUGCAGAUCUUAAGUCUAAAGAGAAAACAACAGUUCAAUGACAAUGAUAUGUAUGUAUGGUUUUGCAGAUCUUAAUUCUAAAGAGAAAACAACAAUAAUUAUAGCGUGUUUGGUUUUGCAUGGGAAAUCUCCCAAGUUCAUGGUUCUAACUUCUAAUCUAAAGAUCCCGAAAGUAAAAUCUGACACGCGCUUAUAUACAUACCUCCCAAAACAUCCUUCAGUACAGCUUCAUCACCAUCGAAAGAUAGAUACAACUGCAUACCACUUUCAAUCAAGUGCUUCAAAAACACAGAACCGAUGUACACUGCAUUAGCAGCCUUUUCAUAAACCAAGGGCGGCACACCAGAAGUAGACAUGGACUCCUGCAAGUAGCAUGCUAGAUGGAACAAAAGCUUUGCAAGAUGCCUGGUUUGACAAUUGUUUUUCGCUGCAAAACAAUUCAAAAAAAUCCCAAAUCCAAAAUUCACAUAAGAAUUCGACACGAGAAGCAAAUUUACUCACCUUAAAAUCAUCAUAAUGAGCGCAUGAUAUCCCAUACAAAUCAGAGAGAUUAAAACUAAAAAUCAUCCAAAAUCACUUCAACAAUCUACCAUACAACUUCAAUUAAUCAAUUCUAUCAUAAUCCAAAUAUUUUGAAACAACAUGAAUAGCUCCUUGCCUCUUUAGCACCGACACUUGUGAUGGAAUGUGUGUCCGCUGUCCAACACAUACCAGUGUUCGACACCGAUACAUCAACACAUGUGAUUAAGUUCAAUUGAUUCAUCUUUUCAAUUUUUAAUGUGUCAGUGUCGUAUUUGGUAUCGGUGUUAGUGGUUCAUAGUUCCUUGCUAUUAAUAUCGUUUUGAGAUAAAACAAAAUCAUAUCACAACAUUCUAGUCGUAGAAUUCAAUAAAACUAAGCUAUAAACUAAUGCUAUUAUCAAAAAAUGGAACAAUUGAAGCUUCGUCAUGAAGAAGACUAACCCAAAAGCUCGCAAGCUUGUUGAACACGUUCAGCAGGCCAUUGAACAUUGAGAGGAAGCUCAAGCAAUUUCUGCCAAAACUCCGAUGAGAAAGGGAACGACUCAUCACCGACAAAAGUCCCGAUCAGAUACUCCGCCGUCUCCGGCGAGAAUUCACCACGCUUACGCGGCGUUGAAGACACCGAACCCAUUCAGAAAGGAAAAAAAACGGUUAUUUUCAACGAUAGUGUUGUUCAAAUCUCGUUGCGUCUGAUUUGGUGGGAGAUUCAAAUUUCAAAGCUGCAUUGUGUGAAAAUUCGCAGAAGAUGAAAAUGAUUUGAUCUAAACGCGAUUAUGGAGAUUGGUUUUGAAAAUCUCGAUGGUUCGUGAAGGGAAUGGAGAGAACAGAGAGAGUGUAACGAAGAAGAGAAGAAAAAGAAGAAGAGCGAGAAGGAGGCUUCUUCGAAACGAAGGUUUUGCAGAGAAAAAUGAAUUAAUUGUAAGGACUUGUUUGGAUCAGCGGUUAUUAUCAGUUAAUAAUAAUAAGGUUUUCGACGUCACCGAGUGGUAGAAGCCAAACAAGACAUAACUCGAAUUUCUUCUUAUAAAUCUAAAAUUUCUAUUUCUAAUUUUUUUAUUAGAAUGUGUGUAUAUGACAAGUAGAGAUGUGAUUAACACAAUAAUGAAAACGUCAUAUAUAAGAAUUAAAUGCUUUUUCAUUUUGUUUAAUUGGUAUGGGCAUGGCCUAGCUUUCGGACUUAUAUUUGAUUUUGAUGUAUGAAAAUUGUGACAGAUCCAUCACUUUGCAAAUGUAUAAUUAACUAAACUUUAUGUGCAUUUAGCCUAACGCUAACAAAAAUUCUAACAUGAUUUUCAACUUAAAUCCAAAUGGUAUGCCAAACAAGCAUACAUUUUUGUUCUUUUGUUAGGGUGUAGUGUAUAUGAAAAAAUAAAAUAAUAGCACAUUCUUUAUUUCUAAUUUUCUACAUAAUCUUGUGUCAAAUGUUAGUUAGAAGUAUACAAAAACAUUUGUAUGGAAUGCUAAAAAAUAUUUUCUAAUUUAAUUGGAGGUUUUUGGUUGAACUCAAGAUUGAAAAUUAACAAGUGUUAAAUUUUUUUAAUAGAGAAUUUUGUUAUCUUUUGUGAUCUGAAUUAACUUGUAUUUUUAAUCAACAAUCCAAACAAGACAAUUCAAAUUCCCUCAAUAAAUUUUCAUUUUGUGGAAAUUAAUUGGUAUGGCCUAGCUUUCGGACUUUUUUGAUAUGAAAAUGUGAUAGAUCUAUCACAUCGCAAUUGGACAAUUAACUAAAGAAUUGUACAUGAGGUUGUUAUAGUUAUGGGAAAAUAUAACUCAUACAGACAAUUUUAAUGAUGCAAAUGCAGUGUGCACUUAGCCUAACGCUUGACUAACAUAAUCCAUUAAUUGUCAAUCUAGAAUUUUUUAUUUAUUUUUUCUUUCCUGAUGCGUCUGAGUAUCGAAUAUACUAGUAUAGAACAUAACUUUUUUUUUGUUGGGAUAACAUAGCACAUAAUUUAAGUUCAAGUCCCUCUCAAAAACUUAAGUUUAAGUCGUAAGCUUGUUGAUGACAGAAAAAUAAAAGUCUUUGAGUCAAUUCGUGCGAAGGUGUUGUUCUCAAUUGCAUAUCAUUCCCCACUUAGUGACAAUUAGCCACAUACAAUUUAUAUAAUGUGCUUGGGCAAUUUCAAUCCCACCGACAUAAAAAUAAACACUUGUUCUCAUUAUUUGUUUUAUUUGAAAUUUUUAUCAUUAUUGAAAUAUUAAUAUACCCUAAUUUAUUACUCACUUUGGUCCUUUUUAUAAAAACAAUUAAUUUUUUAAUUUAUUGAAUAACUCACGUAUUUGGUCUAUAGUAUAUAGUACCAGAUAAAUCAAUUAUUCAAUAAAUCUAAAAUUUAAUUUUUUUUUACAAAAAAUUAAAAAAUAAUUGUUUCUUCUAAAAGGAUCUAAUGGAGUAAUUAUUUAAUAGUAUUCCUAUUUAAAUAAGUAGUUUAUAUGUUUUUUUGGCUCAAUUGAUAAGAACAUUGUAUUAUGUAAGGAUUGAAAUUCGAACCACAACUUUCUCACUUAUUCAUCUUAUAUUGUGAAUCUCUAGUCAAUUGAUUAUUUGACAAAAAAUAUGAUAUAUAGUUUAACUAACUUUAUAUACAUAUAAAGUUAGUUAAACUAUAUAAUCACUUGUGGUUUUGCAUGUUGGUGUGUCGAACAUGUGAAUUUGGAAGCUUCAUUCUUUUCACAUGUACACGGUCAAAAGUGCUUAAUAAAUCACUUGACUAGUUCGGAUGUGGCAAUCGAUGCCCGAUGUAGUCAUAUCUUAUGGCUCAAGCAAAUUCGGCUUGAGGUCAAUAUUUUUAUUUGGCAUUUGUUCUAUAAUAAAUUAGUGACUAGGACGAAUCUGUUUAGGAGAAAUAUCAUGGAUUAUAAUGAAUCUUUUUAUUCAAGCACUUGCGGAUUGGUUGAGGAUCAAGAACAUUUGUUAUUUUCUUGUGCUUUUAAUGGUCAACUUUGGCUUUUAUAUCGGGAUGGUUAGGUAUCUCAAUGACUCUUCAAGGUUUCUUAUUUGAGCAUUUUCUUCAGUUUGGAGGUUUUGGGAGUUUUUUAUUUCCAACAAGUCUCGUUUGACUUUUAAUAUUAUUUCAAUUUCAGCUCUUUUUACUAUUUAGAAGGAUCGCAAUAUGAGGCAUUUUCAUAAUAAAUUAGAACAGCUGCCAUCUUUAUCAGCAUUUUGGUGGUUUAAAUCUUAUUAUGUUGUUUUUUAUUUUAAGUAUUAAGUUUGGAGGUUAAAUCAUUUAUUAUGUUUUCAUAUUGUAACUAAUUUUAUUUUUCUUAGCUACUUUGUGGUAGCAUGUAGAUCGUCUUUUUAUGAUUUUUGAAUACUUUAACUUCCUUUAAUACAGUUAGUGCUAGAGGAGUUUGUGUUGGUUUUUUGAUAUAGUUUGUUCAGCUUCUUAAAAACAACUUUAUAUACAUAUAUAUUAGCCAACUAUAUACUACUACUAUUUUUAAUUUCUCUAAUUAAUAUGGAUAUUUUAGUUGUAACAUAUUAGCUUACUAUAAAAUUGCUAUAAAAAAAAAAAAGCUUACUAUAAAAUUAGCACAACUAGUAAUCCUAAUAAUAUUUAGAAUUGAGUUAAAAAAAAUUGGCAAAUUGUGUGCUAUAAUAAGACACAAAGGAGUAAUGACAAUAAUAUUGUAAUCAUCCCUAUUAUCCUUAUUUUUUGUUCAAGAAAGAGACACUCGUAAAAAUAAAUUCAUCACAUAGGGAAAAAUAAAUUCACCCAUCACAUCGUGGCCACACACUAUAUCAUUUCUACAUGAACUCACAAAAAUGUUAAAAUUAUUAAGUCGAAUAUCAUGAUUGGGUUUCGAACCCCGAUUCCUCUACUGAGUUUUUAAUGAUUUUAUCAUUUUGUUUAUCUAAAAGAAAAAAGAAAAAAAAGUUGACCGCAUAGCUUACACCCAUCACAUCGUGGAUUCCGGUCAGAAAGAGAUUUUAUUAAAUGACGGAAAAUUUGUGAUGCAUUCUCGAGAUAAGGUAUCACAAUAAAUAGCAUUGUUGAUCAUAUAAUGUUCAAUGAGAAGUCAAUGCCUUCACUGUUUAGAUGUUUAACUGUUACCUCAUUAGACAAUUGACAUAGGACUAAAACCUAACCUGAAAUAUCUAGACCGUUAAUUUUUGAACUGUUCGUAAAAAAAAAUUGAAUUGUUUCCACUGUAGUCUCGCCCAAGAGUAGACUUUAUUUUUGCCCCAGAUGUGAUUAUCAUUGUUGGUUGGUGUGCUUUAAUUUAUGCUACUAUCAUUAUUAAGAGCAAAGUAUUGUAUCAAAAAGCUAAGCCAUGAUACUGUAAUGGAUUCAAUAUUCUAUUACAGAGAACUAAGCAACGCAGGAGAAAUAAUCCUCAAUGCCUUCUUUCCCUUAUAUAUGCCUUGUUCACUCCUUGAUGUACACUUUUCAUCCAAUACUUGCCCACGUGUCUUUACUGCAAUGACAGUUUGCUAGCUUCAUUUGAUGACAUGGCAUUCUCUAUUUAAGAUCAUUACAGAUACUAUUGUAACUAACACGAUGAAAAUGUCUCAUCCUGAUCAAUGUUUUGUUGUGAGCAUUGUUCAAUUUGUCACUUGAUCUUUACGAGUUGAUGAUACAAAAAUUGAAUGAAAGCAAGUGUCACCAUCCUAGAACCGUGAUAUGUGAAAGGGGAGACAAAAGAGCAAUAAUGUUGUUGAAUGAUUCAGAUUUUUUCUUCAAUGAAACAAACAAAUGACUAAUACGUGGAGGAGGGGAUGAAAAAAAAUUAAAGUAGCGGAAAGAGAAUGUCUUAUUUUUCUUUUUUAAAUUAAGGAAACUAUAAAAUAUUUUCAUAAUUAAAUUAGAUGUGAUUGAAAUUUAUAUGAUCAUUCAACCAAUUUAAGAUUAUCAGAAUCUCAUUCUCUUGAUAAUCGGAGAAUUAAGAUUAAGAAAGUUUAUAAUGAAUCAUAGAAUUGGAAGAAUAGCUUUGAUAUUUAUGGCGUUGAUGAAUAUCUUUGUUCAAAUUGUACAACUCGUUCUCAAUUCGGAUUUAGAAAAGCAUGGGGUUGUCAAGAUAAACCAUCUUUAGUCGUACCGCCCUAUUUUUUUUGGCCACGUCCCAUCAUAUUCUAGUCACCAAUAUGGUUGUGCCACCCUCGCCAUUUUUCUCCCCUUGUCAAGCUCUAUCUCCUACACCCAACAGAUCAUUUGUCACAUAUUCACCGGAACUCUGCCACCUUCUAUCCUUUAGUUUGUCGUUUGUGGACCGCCUUUGGUCACAAAACCACCACCACCAAUCAACUCAUCUCCUUCUUCCAAGCAAACCCCUCAAUUUAUUUCAAGAUUUGAUCAAGUUGAUUUUUUAGACCACCGCCUUUAAAGGCCAUUUUGAGUGAGCACGAUUCUGGAUCAAGAAGAUGAACAUCAAUUCCUUGCUCACCUUCGUGAGGCCUGUCUAUUGGAUAACUUAUUUUUAUGUUAUAUGUAUCAACGCUAGUCACCAUUGUACAGUCGCAGGUAAAAAGCUUCGACCAUCUUUGUUCUUUCUUUUUGUUUUCAAAUGAACUUUCUCCAUUGGAGGAAGAGGGAAAUGAUUUGGUUUAUAGCGUGUGUCAUAAAUUUGGCAUAACUUAUUCAUAUCUAAUGGUGUAAAAAAAGUUUUUGCAUUGUGAAAGACCUAGUAAACUUGUACACCAUAGACGUUACCUCUUUUUAAAGCACCAAACCUAACGUUUUCAGUAUGAUGUUUCGUGAUGCUAUACACUACUUACUUCAAAUUAAACUUGAACAAUACACGAAAAGGCAAAAACCUUCUUUUAUAUCUUAAGAGACUAACAUUAGACAUGCUAUAUCUUUUCUUUUUGACAUUAAGGGAGCCUAAGAGAAAUAUUUUUCAUUGAUUAUACUUUUAAAUUAAAAAAUUAACGGAGCCUAAAAAUAAUGGACAACAUGGUGUGUGUUUUUUUUUUGACAAAAACACGGUGUUAAGCCCUCUUUGUAAUAAAAAAAAAAUGGACAACAAAUAAAUUAUAACAAGCAAUCAAAUUCUAUUAAAACAAGGCAGCAACAAGUCAACCGUAUUGUUGUGGCAUAACAAGAAGGAGUGUAAAUUUUAUGAUAUCAUAGAAGGUAAUCAUGCAAUUCAAGCAUCUUCUAUCUAUCAAAAAAAAAAAAAAAAGCAAUUCAAGCAUUUUUAAGAUAAUGUAAUUUACUCAAAAUGAAAAUGUAAUUUACUUAAAAUGAAUAGUGAAAACUGAAAUUAACGACUUCGCCUUUUUUUUUAGAUAUGCGAAAUGAUAAAUAAUCAUUGAUACUGACACACAUAUGCAGUGAUCGGGUUCGAAACUCCGAUCACGGCGUCUGAACUAACAAUGUUUGACAUUUCAGUAAUGUAUUUUCGGCACUUCAAUUUAAUUGGACUGCAUAAGCCUUAACUUAACACAUGUUAGAGAUUUUCUUCAUGAAAUUAACUUUUCAUUGCCCCAGUAGAAAAUUCAACGUCACACAAGUCAUAACAAAGUUGCAAAAUGAUACUAGUCAAAUGGUUGAUCUCCUAGGUAAUCGAUCUUGUCUCGUGCCAGCUACACUGUUCGUGUCAUACAUGACUUGUGCAAUCUUCUUAUCGCUUAAUCAAACUAUUGCAUUGCAGUAGUGGUAUGGAAUCCAACUCAAUUUUUGCGACACAACAAUCACACAAUUUUGAGCAAAUAAUAAGGUUUUUAAUGAAUCACGUUUUGUAAUUCUCCAAUUGCGUAUAACUACAUGAACAACUAAACACAAUUUCAAGAGUUUUAACGUUGCCUCUCAAGAAAGAAACUUGCGUCACUUAUCUAAUUAAGUUGAAAGAUACUUGUUCGCAUAUUCAAGUUGUUUUGGUUAAUAACAUGUUCUUCAAAACCUAGUAAUCGAAUUAAAGUGAUUAAUGAGUUAACCAGAAAACGUAUCGUUCGAAGAACUAAAGUUCGAUUUAUGUUAGAAUUAACUUUUGGACCUCUAGCCCUCUUCUCAACAAAUCAAAUAUUCUUCAACUAUUAAUGAAAUUAAAUAUUUUGUUAUGAUAUGGAAUUAUUUACUUGGAGUUUUUGUUUUUUUUGGUACAAAUUUGCUUGGAGAGUUAUGUAGAAGAAUCAUGAAUUGAUGGUUGAAAUAAGUUGUCCCUUUUGAAUACAGAUUAAGUAUUACUCUCUACAAUAUUUGACUUUUUCCCUAACUAAUUUUAUAGGAUUAUUAACAGAGACAGAGAAGAGGGGAUGUUAGGGCAAGAACGUAGAAAAGGACAAAAAUUGUGUGUGGAAAAAUAAGAAAUUAUGAGUACAAUGUAAAAGCCACCUUCUGUUCUGGCAACUUGUAGUUCUAGCCAUAAUUAAGAUGUGUUUGAAAUCUAAACUAGAUUCCAAGCUUGAAAUCAUAAGUUGAUUGAGACAAAUACAUCACAAAACACCAUACAUGAAAAAUUAGGACGAAAGAGACGCUUAGUCCAAGAACAAGAAAUCAAAUGCAAAUAAGAGCUUCUUUAAAUAAAAUAAAAAUGCAAAUAAGAUUUUCAUUCCUAAUCAUAAAAAAAAAAUAUAAAAAAAAUGUUUCUUCAUUUUAAAUUACCCUAACUGUUACCAAAGCAAAAGGGUUAUACUACAUUACACGAUCUCAAGACAUGUACCUCGCCCGUAUGAUACAUUGGAUUCUGGAUAUAUGGUAGUAUGAGUAAUUGUUAGGAAUUUGGAUCCUCAAGUGCUUGAGAAGUUCAUUUGGAGAGGGUAUGUAUACUUUUAUCAUACAAGAGUAAAUGAAUAGUGUUUAGACACGAUUUUUUUUAAUAAUAAAAACGAGAUUGAUAAAAAAUUAUUUAAUAUUUCGAAGACAAAUCAAUUUAUGUGUGCGAUUAAAUACUAUUCAUUUAAUUUUGUGACGAAGAUUAAUACAUAGAGAGAGAGAGAGAAAGAAAAACAAAAAUGGAUGGAUUGAAUAUUUUAAUCACAAAAUUAGUUUCUCUCGAUCUCUCUUAAAUGAAGGUAUUUGAGAGGAUCCAAACUCAACUAUUAGUAGGUAAUCAUAGAGUUAUUAAUUGAUGAUAUAAAAUUAUUGGUGGAAUUCAUUUGAAACUUUAUUUAGAGGUGAUGUGUUGGAGGGAUUGAGUGUUUAUUAGGUAUUAUUAUUAAAAAAUUAUAAAGGACUGUUUUGUACAUGUAAAACUCACUUAUGUCGUCAAAAAUGGGUAUCUCCUAUUUGGAUGCGCUUAUAUGGCUAGCAAAAGCUUCCACCCAAACUCAACAAAUGUGUUGACUAUGAAGCGGUAACACCGACAAGAAACCCUUGACACCAUUAAUAAUUUGAAAAGGUUGUAUAUUUAAAUGCAUGUCGGUGUAAACGAACAUCAAACACACCUUCAAUUUGAAAUGUCAGGGUUAUACGGUUAGCCAAUCAAAAUGUAGCCUUAAGAAACACAAGAGAUUAAAGUCAGCUUCCAUGCAUGCAUAUUCUUAGGUAUGUAUGUAACAAAAGAAAAUACAGUCACCUGCUAAAUCAUUAAUCAAUGAAGCAAACUAGAAGAAGUCAGGAAUGCAGCCAAGUUUUGAUAAAAGCUUCCUAUUUAGGAGGACUAGAGGCAAGAUAACCAAGUUGCUCAGCCAAUACAUCAACAUCUUCAAUAUCCACUUCAUCUUCAAUACCCUCUUUAAACAAAUCUUGCCAAAACACUUCAAUAUCGAUCUCUUUAUCUCUUACUUCAAGUUGAUUGAUUUGAUUGGAAUCUUCCUCAACAUCUUGAUGUGUUUCGAGUUUGACAAAAUUUAAGCACUCUUUAUCAACAUAUCCUAAUUCAUCACCUGCUUCAACAUUACUAGGCCCUUGAUCAAUAGUUCUCCUUCUCUUCUUAGAAAAAAUUUCCUCUAACUCUUUUCUCCAUUCCUUCUGCUGAACUAACUGUUGCAAGAAAUUAGGAUUUUGUAUUGCCCUUGCCAAGAAAUUCAUCAUCUGUUUUUGUUUUUGUUCACUUCUUUUAAGCCUUCCUUCCAUUGCUUCAAGGUGAGUUCUAGUAUUCUGUUGUUGUUGUCUAAGUUUCACCAACUCAACCAUUAGAACUUGUCUGUCGCGCCUCAACCGAUCCACUUCGAUUCCGUCUGAUCCAAACCUUCCCAGCUCAACACAUGACGGGUCUAGUGCUUGCAUUACUUGAGAUUGAUUUGCUUUUCUUCUUCUAAUGUUCUUCAAAAGGAUUUUUUGUCCUUUUAGAAACAUCUCAUUAGCAAAUUCCCACCUAUCUGCAUCAACCUUUUUAAACCCCUACAAUUUAAUUUCAAAUUUCUCCUUCAUUUUCAAAUCAAAAUGCAAUCCAUAAUUCCAUUCAAUGAAAACGAACACUAAUUAACAUUGACGUAGACAUAGAAGUAUGACAUGACACCGACACAUAGACAUCAUUAAUAAUUUUAAAUAAAAUAGAAUUAAUUGAAUAUAACCAAAGUAUCAGUGUCGUGUUGGAAUCGUGUCACAUAUAUAGUAGACAUUUUCUCGAUCAUGAGAAACAAACAAAAAUGUUUCUUCAUGAUGUCAUAUCUCCAACUAAUUAAAUAGAUGUUUAUUUAAUUUUGAGAGUAUUGUUUAAACAUUAAAUUGAUUCGAAGAAUUUAUCUAAAUUCUCUAAAAUCUUCCUCCAAUAAAUUUUUUUGACUUCCUUUAUUAGGUGAAAUUUGUAUUACCAUGAAAAAUAACUCACACAAUCAAGCUAAAGGAUUGUCUAUUAAUCAUUUUUUUUUUCCAAAGUCCUUCACUCCCAAACAUAGCUUAGACUUUUAUAUUUCAACCGCAAUAUUGCAUUGCAAAAUGCAAUUUAGAACUGCAUUAUUCCAGAUAAUGAAUGAAACAAAAAUGUUCUCUAGUGAUGUCAUAUAUAUUGUCUCUUUUGAUGAUAAGGGUUGCUUCACCUCAUCAGAAUAAUUAAGAAAACCAAAGAUUAAAAAAGAAAAAAAAAACAUAUAUAUAAUAUAUCAUCACUACUUGAGUAGAGAGUUGAAAUUAAAUACUACUACUCACAUAGGUAUUAAGUUGCCUGACAAAACUGGAGAAAUUGUUGUGCUUGAAGAAUCUAGGGAGAAGAAUAAUGGAAAAGGCUUGAGGAUCCCAAACAACAAAGCUAUUGUUCCCUGUACUCCAUGAAACUAUAUGAUUUGUGGAAGGAUCAUCAACUAUAUCAUAUGUUUUUGUGAGGAAUGGUGGAGGACCAUUUUCAUGAAGUCCUUCCCUUGGUUGAGGUUCACCAACCACAGAAAAGGAAGAACUUCCUCCUACAAAUUCCUCCUUCAUUCCACCAUGAUGAGGAUUCAUAUUCAUAAAAAGGAUCUGGUUUGGCAAGUAGGGUUUGAAUAAUGAGAACUUAAACUAAAUAGACUGAUCAUGAUUACUAAACAUAAUAGGAAAAUCAGAUCAUAUCAUGAGGGGGGGACACACAGAGAGAGUACAGAGAGAUUUAUGAUCUUUGGAAGUGUUUUUGAUUGGAAUGAUGUGAGUGAAGGAACAUGAAGCAGGUACAUGCUGUCUUGAGUUUUGUUCAAUUCAUUUAUAAAAUAGUUGUUAUGUUAUGUUAUAUGCCAUUGUUCUUGUGUUUUUUUCCCCUUUUCUUUAUAGAUGGCGAAAUAUAUUAUUAUAUAGGUCAAGUGACUAAUGGGGAAGGUAAAGUACAAGACAAAUCUAAGAUGUCGACUAGAUAUUUUUCUCCCUCCUCUCUCUUAUUUCUCUUUUGGGAAAGCCGUUGCAUUGCACUUCCAUACUUCUAUUACUUCAUUUUAUUUUAUUUUCUUGAAACCGUCGGUAAAACCUUUUGUUCAUUAAGUUCACACUACAUAAUUAUUUUUUUAUGAGAUAAAGUUUAGGGUUUAGGUGGUUGAGUUUCGGAAAUUCAUCAAAGUCAAAACAGACUUCAAGACUUAAAGACAUUGACAGUUUGUACGACAAAAAAAUCAUCAAAACAGUCAUGAAAGUUGAACUCACAACUUUAUCGGUGAGUUAAUUUCUUACCGAUUAGUCCAUAUCCUUUUUAAUUAUUGGUGCAAUCUCUACUUUGUACUUCACAUAUUAAUUUAUAAUUCCUUUUCGGUCUUUUUUAAUGAAAAAGUGAUAACUUUGUCUGUUGUCAAGGACCGAGUAAUGAAAAGCUACAGAUGAGGACUUGUGCUUGAGAAAAUCUAAUUCAGAUGGUCCUUAAAAAACAUACUUUUUUUUUACAACAAAACAUACAUUUUAUUUCAACAUCAACAUACAAAUAUAUUUAACAGAAGAGUUAGAUGAUUGACACAAAAGUUGUAAAAAAUAUAUAUAAUUUAUCUGGUCUCACUUAUUUUCUUUUAUCUUCUAUAUAUAAGUGAUUAUAAAUUACACGCAAAAGUUAAUAUAAGAUAUACACAAUAGAAUUUUAAAAGAUAGAUAUAUAUGGUCCAACAUUUUACAACAAAUACAUUUAACUUUUUGAAUCCAUUUUACUGAUAUUUUGAUAUAGAGGAAAUGCUAAAUUUGACUUCAAAAUUUUUAUGAGUAAUGGGAAUGUACAUGCUUGAUUAGACGACGGAUGAGAAAUGAUUUUGGUUACACAAGGCGUGGAAUAUCAAAUGGGCAUUGGUUGGCAUUGGAUCAAUGUUUGCUGUGAAAUCAUGUCGAUUUCUAAGAAAACCAAUGUAUGAAAAAAAAAAGUUGCGUUAUAUAUAUAUAUAUUUGCGUUAUAAUUGUUCUUCGUGGUUUUUCAAGAUGUAAAAAUUCUUAAGAGCGAGUGAAGGUGGGGCAGUCAAACCUUUUGGCACAAAGGAGAGAUCGAAACGUGUAUCCACAUAUGGUUAUCAUUUCAAAUUAAAUAAUAUAUUUUUGAGAGAUUAGAGGUCUUGUCAAAAUAAAAUAGAGAUUAGAGAGAUGAAACUAGAGAUAUUAAAAAAAUAAUUAUAUACUCCAAUGAAAAGAGAUGAGACUAGAAUAUGCCCGACACCAUCAAAAUUCAAAAAGCAAAAUCGCAGAUAACUGUAGUGUAGUGUCCCGUGUCCUGCUUUUUGUUUUUUCUCUGGGGUACUUAAUUUAGUUUGUUUAAUUCAAACUUUGGUAUCAAAUCACAUUUUAUUUCGCAGACUAUUAGGCAAAUUAAUGAUUAGGUGUAGUGUUUCUCACCACGCAAUUAAGAGUUGAUACCACUGAUCACCCCAUCUUCCUCACUGAACCAGUAGUUUCAUACCCAAUACUAAUUGAACCUUGUGCUUACCUAUGGCACUCUUGAAUUAAAUAACUACUCACACCUUUCUUGUUAAGACUUAGCUCGAGCUCAACUCAGAUAGAUACUAGUCUAUUAGGUGAGAUUUGGGAAAACUUAACUGAACAUUUUUAUCUACUCCCUCGAUAUUGGACGAUUUUAGUCAAAUAGAUGAGAAACUAUCAUUUAAGAAUCAUUGCCUUAAAACUUCCAAACAUUGCCUUAAAGCACGUCAAAAUGAAAAAUCAAGCAAAAAUGAAUACAUUCAAAUUGCUUAAUGGUAUUCCUAUGGUUCCAAUGCUGUAAGUAAGAAUCAUUAUAUUUUGACAGAAAUUUCUAGAAGAGAAUUGUUUUAGUACAAGGGUUCCUACUUUCUACAGCUGCAGCUGUAGAUGAUCCAUGCCUAUUUCCUACUCAAUUCGGCAGUAUUCAGCGGACUACAUUAUGGGCUUUCCUCGAGUCCCAGUUUAGUAUUGGCCUCUACUUAAUCAAAGAACACAUUGAGUAGGACUCAUAACCAUUACAAGGGACAACUAAUUGACCAAAAAACUCGAAUUAGAAAACAUUAACAGUCUAUUGAUGUAUAUGUUUUAUUCUGUCUGCAAUUCUGAUAACAAUAUUGCAAAUACAAUUAUUUUACAACACAGGCAACAAACACAAUGGCAUGGAUAUAUAUAUAUAUAUAUAUAACAUUGAGGGUUCAAAGGGUAACUUGCAUACCACAACAUAAAAGAACGGGUUUCUUUCUUUGUUUUACAGAUCAUUAUUUAUUUCUCAAACUUGGUUAAAGUAUCAAAGCCUUGGUCCUUUUUAUCCCAUGCUACAAUCAGGCAGAAUCAAUCUUAAGCAGUGGCGUCAACAGCAUGGCUAGCAACAUCCUUCUCCACAAAAGUCUUGAUAUAUUGCCCUCUGCGCAUUAAAAUCGCAAUAUGAGGUUCGACAUAAAUUCUCUGAUUGUCCCAUAUGCUACCUAAUUACUAAACUGGUUAAAUCAUACCUAGCAGGAAGAUGAUCAUGUGGGCGAUUGUAUGGAGUCCAAAUUGGUUCACCAACAAAAAAUCGCAAUGCCUGUAUAAUUACAAUCAUGUAAGAAACACAUAUGAAGUAGACUAAUCUCAGCAAAUGUUAAGAUAAAGAAAGAAGUUGAAAAUGCAUAUCAACAACUAAAAGAUAACAAAAAUAGGCUUGCAAUAUGUCACAUCACAAGUUACACCUUCAUCUUAACAUAUAUUCAAGAAUGCAACUAACCAAAAUCAUUGCAAUCACAUC
rnacentral:lncRNA from 1 species